rnacentral:rRNA from 1 species
AAGAAGCCCUUCGGGUUGUAAACCGUUUUUGUCCGGACGGAAAGAAAGUAUCUUUAAUACCGCCGGAUAAUGUCGGUCCCUNAAGAAUAANCCCCGGCUAAUUUUGUCCCAGCAGCCGCGGUAAUAAUGUAGGGGGCAAGCGUUUUUCGGAAUUACUGGGGGUAAAGCGCGCGCAGGCGGUUUUUUAAGACAGAUGUGAAAUCCCCGGGCUCAACCUGGGAANUGCUUUUNANACUGGCAAUCUAGAGUGCGNCAGAGGGGGGUGGAAUUCCGCGUGUAGCGGUGAAAUGUGUAGAUAUGGGGAG